CUAAGUAUGGGGUGUUGUUUUUGCUGCAUGACCCUGGUUGAGCCCUUGACCUCUUGAUGCCUCUGUUCCACAUCUGCGCAUGCUCCCUGGCCCCUUCCUGGGACUCUGCCAGGAGGGGCCGUUCCUGCCCACCCCUCCCCGCCUGCGGCUGGUUUCUGUGGAGCACAGACAGAGGAGGCCCCGCCACACCCAACUGGCUGGCAUUUCAGCUCACAGCCCUCCUCCCAGAGCAGCAGAUCUCAUUUCCGCCCUGUGAAAAAUGGUCGUCUGGCACCCAGGCAGCUCCCGCUGUGGGGCAGCCAGCUGCUUCCAGCCUGGAGGAGGGGGACAAAGGUGGGGUAGAAAUCUGGAUCAGGACCUGUUGCGGGCACACGGAUGCUGACUCAUGAGAAACACUAAUUCCUGGUCCUGGGGUGUGGAGUCUGAUCUGUGGGCUCUUCACCUCAUGGCUGGAUUUGCAGGACCUCGGAGCUGCCCUCUGCUCCCAGUCUCACCCCUGCCAAAUCGACCUCCACAUGGCCCCAGGAGUGCUGUCCCUGAGACCCCACCAGAUCUCUAGGGGAUUCAAGAAAUAUUUGGAAACUGGACCAGAGGACAAAUGAAUGAAAAGAUGGUGACAGCAAUAUGCUGUGGGGGUCAGAAGAAGGAAAGACUCGGGUUCAAGUCCAACACUUAACCCCUUGGAGAAGUUACUUCUCUGAACAGAAAGUAGGCACUCCGGGAAUGUUUCUCUCCUGCCCUUCCCGACCUCCCCUCGUGCCCCAUCUUUCAACAGGAUCUGUUCUCCUGGGCCUGUUGGUGAAUCCGCCUCUGGAACCCAGACUGGCAGCAGAGGCCUGCCCAGGGAGGAGCUAAGACCCACGUGGCUGAGACUGAUGCUGUGUAGACAGCCCCCAGGCUGCAGGGAGGACAGGCAGCCGCUGUGACAGCCCUGGGAACCAGGGUGACGUGCGUCUCAAGAGGUCUCCUCCAGCACCCAGCAGGGGAGAGGCAUCUCUUAUAAUGGCUUACAGCCCGCCUGCCCGCUCACUGACAGCGUCAUCAUGGAGUCUCCCCACUUUGACUUUUAUUCGUCAACCACAUUUGCACACACACCCCCCAAGAGCCUCAAAGAGUGGCUCCUGGUGGCUUGGCUGGACAGCCCAGCUCUCCCUGGAAAGACCGGGGCUUUACAAAGAACCCCAAGGGGAACCACUGCCCCUGCAACCUGAGGACUGGCUUUGCCAAAGGACCUUGCCAGAAGGGGCUGGCCAGCGAGUGGGGCUCUGCCUGGAACAUUCGGGGCCUGGGCCUGGUCUGAGGGUCCCCUGGCGGGACAGCACAUCAGUAAUGGAGCAAGGCUGCCCUUUUUCCUCCCCUGCGAGGGGCACCAUCGACCUGGGCCAUAAGUCAACGACUUUAAUUCUCAUCAGGGACGAGUCUGGCAAGAAGGUUGCUGGCUGUGUGUGAAUGGGAUGAAGAGUCAAAGAGCAAAGACGGUUAAAUAUGGUGUCUCGCCCUGAGGCCGGGAAGCGCGUGCUCGCAGGGCCGGGGUCACCCUGCGGAAUAUUUCUGUUACUGAUGGAGACCGGGAUAGAAAUGAUUUUAAUAUGUGAAGUUCUGGUAUUGAUGUCAUUCAAGCCUCAUAAUACACCACCACCCGCUGGGAAGGGGUGGGAAACCCAGACUGAAGGCUGAUUUGGUCUUUCAUGUGUUCGUUCAUUCAUUUCUUCACCUGCUGGAAUAUUCUGCCCUGAAAUCCUGGCACGGCUGGCUCCUUCUCAAGAUUCCGGUCUCAGCCCAAAGGCCACCCCCUCAGAGAGGCUGCCCUGACCUCCCUUUCUGAUGGAGUCCCCCUCCUUCCAGCCCACCCCAGUGCUACCUAGCACUCUGUGUUGCAUUCCCCGGAACUGAGACUCUCUUGUUUAUCUGUCUGUUGGUCGGUGUGCUGUCCACCGUGGCUGCUGGACAGAAACUCCUUGAGAGCACGGGUCUUGCUUUCCUGUCCACUGUUCUGUCUUCCGGUGCCUGACACCACGCCUGGUCCAUAGUGACCCCCAUCCGCCCUCCAUUUGCCAAGAACCCCCCAGUUGUCAGAUCAGUGCUGGGGCUCAGCCAUGGCCUGAGGGCUGCCCUCAAGAGAGUCUGGCAAAUGGGGUAGUGGCGUGUGUAUUAACCAUGUGCUUUGAUGCUCUGACAUCUGGGGCCUCGGGGACCCUGGAAAGACUGUCCGUUUCCAGGCUAGCCAGGAAGAGAGAACGAACAACUUGCCUAAGUGCUCCUUUUAGGCACGAACCAACCAGAGACCUACCGCAACCACCUCAUCUCUCCCUCUCUGGGUUCUCAUGCUCUGGGCCACCGUCCACAUGUCCUGAUCACCCCAGGGCCAGGUAGCAGACAACUAGCGACAAGCCCUAGGCCCCAGAGCCUACUGAAAUUCUUCAAACUAGUCUGCUUACCUGCCCACCCAUUCCUGCAGAAACCACAAUAGAAGCUCUGGCCUCCGUUUCCCUCAACUCUGUCUCCUGACCCACCCUGGUGCUUCCCUGUGUGGCUCCCCCUGACGCGGGAGUCCCCUCCCCUUGGCAUCUGUGAGUAGCAAACGACAUCCUGGUCCGCUGGCCUCACCGUACCUGGAUAAUAAUAAAACCUGCAUUUUACAACAGGCCAUGAGGGUGAAGGCAGGCCCAUGGCGCUAAGGUGACGUGGGGGCAGGGCACGAAGCUAGGACCUGGCCUCUGGUGUCCGCAGCUGGAUGGGGGAGCUGGAGGCCUUCUAAGUGAAAGGCACAGCCCAGGCAAAGGCUUGGAAGGCUAGGGAAGGGAUGGAACUGUCUGGUCAUUCAAAUGGCCCCAUAUGGCUGGGGCCGAAUUGGGAGGAGUCUCCCAGGCAGGAGACUGGAGGAGGAUGAGGUCGUCCUGGAGAUCUUUGAAUGAGGCCAGGCUCUGUUUUGGAGCAGGCAACAGUCAUACUGGGAGGAUGGGGAGGAUGGGUGGGGGGGUACGGUGGUGCUGUGGGUGGAGCCCAUCGGAUGUGUGGUCCCUUGAUGUUUUUCCUCCAAGUGGAACCCCCGUGGCUGCUGGCCUGCAUGCUGGGGGACAUGUGUCCCCACCCCACCCCCGGACGCCUCUCACUCAGCUCCAGUCCCAGCCCACACCAGCCCUCAGCACCCCCACCCUGCUCUUUGCUGAGUCACAGAAACAGCUGCUGUUUCUGCUGGGGGCCCUAGACUGAGUCACACCUGCCCAUAUUCACCCAUCUCCCACUCUCCCCGUACCUCCCGCAUCCACGGGUGGGGCUCCAUGGGCUGGUGGAAUCAUCGCUGCACGUGGCACCCAGGAGCUCAAAUCCCUUGGGAUUCUGACUCCAGUACCAAGUUCCUGAAAGACACCGAAGUGGGGCUGGAGCGAGGAGCAUGGCUAUGUGGGGGAUGACAGGUGUGGACGUGGCCCCGUCUGGGUCCCCAAAGGCCUCAUAAGCUUAUCCAUCUUCCUCUCCUGUUAGGUCCUUCUGGGCCUGGCCUGAGAUCUAGGAAUGAAGAAGGGCCCCCUCCGCCCUGGCCUGGAGGGAGCACGGAUGCCUGCAAGGAGUCCCCGUGCCAAAGGAGAAAGCCCCAAGGCUGAGUGCCUGUAAGCCAAGGUCAGGAUGGGUAAGGAAAUGGACCAAACCCUUGACUUUCUGCAACAUGGCCCUGGAAGAAAAUAACACAGGCUCCUGGAGAGAUGGCCUGGAGCUUCGCACAUCCACUGGGCAUUUGCCCAAUUUAUUCUUUCACUCAUUCAGCCGAUGUCUUUCCGGGGCCUACUGUGAAUCAGUCACGUGCUAGGCGCCAGACACGCGGCAGUGCACGCAACACCCUGAAUCUCUCAUCUGGGAGUCUCCCUCCUGUCAGGGGAGACAGCCAGUAAGCGAACAAGGAGGUAAAUCUACUGUCUGUCAGUGAUGCAUAUUAGGGAGUAAAAUGAACAGGUUUGAAAGAAGAUGCAGGAAGCAUUGGGCAAACAAAAGGGAAGGCGUGGGAGGGUGCCAUUACAUGCGACAGGGCACAGAAGGGACCCAGACGGUCCCACCUUGAGGCAAGAGGGCUGGCCUUGUGGAUUCAUGUGUCCCUCAGCCACUGGCUCCUGUCGGGUCAAGGGCCAUUCUCCAGGCAAGGGGACAUCUGUGAGCCAUUAGCGGCUGAUCCUCAUAGUAAAUGAGGCAUGGGGCACAGGCCCAAGAAAGGGAUCUGGGGUGGGACACCACCAACACCCACGGCAGCCUGGCCUAAGUCUCACUGAGCCAAGCCCAACCUGGCCUGGCCGAGGGCAGCUGCCAUGGGAUCAUCCCUCAGAUGGUUUGGGUAAGCGAGGGCCCUGUGCACCAAGAUAGUUGCUAACUCAUCUUCCGUAAGCCCCGGCUGCAUGGGCCAGGCACUGUGUUAAGGGUUUUGCUUGCAUUGCCCCCUAAUCCAUGAGGAAGAUGCUUGAUUACCCCCCUUUCCCAGGGGAAAACACUGAGGCUUCCUUGCUCAAGAUCAAGCAGCUAACACGUGGGAUGGAAUUAGACCCACGUCUGUCUGGCAUCAAAGCCCA